ensembl:lncRNA
UUUCUCUCCACAGUGACAUUCAAGGUCAGAAUGGGCCCUGGGUCUCAGUUGGCACUUCUGGAAUUGAAGAAGUCAGAAGCUGAUGAAGUUUCAAAAGGCACGUUAUCCUUCAGCUUGUUUCCAGAAAUGAGGAUGAAGUGAGGAAACCAUCUCCAGCACUAAUUCCUAUCUAGGAUGGAUGGAGAGUGGGAGCCAAGAAAACCUUUCCUAUCUGUACCCACAGAGUUUGAAAUUAUCUGUUACUGAUUACACCUCAUCUCACCCUGACUGGCACAAAGCCCACUGACCUCUGAAAAGGAAACUAUCAGCCCAAGGAAGGACUGCCAGAGGAUUUUAUGUCUGAUGCUGAAGCCUGGGUUCCUGUGUGAGAGUAGAGCUUGGAUCAACGAUUCUUGAUCCUGACACAGCAACUUCAGAUUUUGUCAAUGGUUCAACCAUCUGGAACUCACAGAAACCAAGAGGCAGUGUGUUGUUGUACCUGACAAGAAAGUGGGACCUGUCUUGUCAGAUGAUUCAAGAAUUCUUUGCCUAAGAGGGUUUUGCCUAUCUAAUAUCUUGAGUUUUGGAUUAGGAGCUUUGCUGUAUUUCCCCAUCCCUGAAGGAAGAGAGGUUGGUAUGGUGGCUCUGUGAAGCAGGUUGAAGAUCUUGCCAAUCAUGAACUAAGAGUUACAGAGAAUUUUCCCAGUGGAGCAAAAUUCCCAACACAGAGGACUAUGGAGACGAGCAGAUUGUGCUCAGAAGCCGGCUGAGUACCUCAUGUCUGGAAGCUGCAAGCCGUAUCUGACUACUUGCCUGCAUAUUCUCUUUGUGGGUUCGGCUAUAACACUGGGAUGUUGUUGGAGAGGAUGCCUUGUGCUGAGUCUUCACUUUUGCUCCACAAAGCUGCCGUCUGUCCUCUGCUGCCACAACAGCUUCCUCUCUAGACUAGUCUGGCCCUUCUUACAUCCCAGAGUUGGAACCUGCCUUCUUCCUUGUAGCAGGAACUACAGCAGAUAAAUCUGUUCCUGUUAUAAGUUACCGAACUUAUGGAUUCUAUGAUGGCAGCAACCAUAUGAAAGCCAAGGAAAAAAGUCUCACAGGAUCUUGACUGUUAGCAUCCAGAACUAUGACGAGAUAAGUGUCAGUCACCUAUGCUGCCUGGUCUGUGGUACCUUCUUAGUGCUGCCCAAACAGACCAACACAGCAAUGCAAAUGCCAUUUUCAACACCCAAGGUUGCCUUACUGUUUUCUCAACAUUUCUUUGCUUUAUUCCAGUGAAAGAACUUUGAACCAGGAAUGCAUGAAAAGAUUAACCACUGAAUGUAAACCGUAAGAGCUAAUUGGACAAGAGGCAUUGUAUGUAGUCAACAAAAAUUAACUUGGUUUAGACAGCAAACGUGUAACCAUCAGGAAUGUAACAAUUAUGAAGUUGGCAGCAGACUUUUGUGAAAAUGUAAUUAAUGUGGUACCCAGAACUCCUGACAUGUGUACAAGAAAUUAUUCCAUUGCUUUCCCCAAUGAAAUGAAAUUCAAUUUAAUUGACAGCAUCUGAUGGGGUCAACGUUGUCAAAUAGUCUCUUAGAUGUUAAGACGUUUUGACAGCAGAGUCUCCUGUGGUUGAGUGUUCCCUGGGAAGUUUCAUCUGCAAGUGAUUGUAAAACAUUCAUCUUUACUGCUGCAAAUAUGAGAAUAAAACAAUUUGAUGAGCAACUUCUGAUGCCCA